rnacentral:rRNA from 1 species
CCUACGGGAGGCAGCAGUGGGGAAUAUUGGACAAUGGGCGAAAGCCUGAUCCAGCCAUGCCGCGUGUGUGAAGAAGGCCUUCGGGUUGUAAAGCACUUUCAGUGGGGAAGAAAGCCUUGGGGCUAAUACCCUCGAGGAAGGACAUCACCCACAGAAGAAGCACCGGCUAACUCCGUGCCAGCAGCCGCGGUAAUACGGAGGGUGCGAGCGUUAAUCGGAAUUACUGGGCGUAAAGCGCGCGUAGGCGGUCUGAUAAGCCGGUUGUGAAAGCCCCGGGCUCAACCUGGGAACGGCAUCCGGAACUGUCAGGCUAGAGUGCAGGAGAGGAAGGUAGAAUUCCCGGUGUAGCGGUGAAAUGCGUAGAGAUCGGGAGGAAUACCAGUGGCGAAGGCGGCUUUCUGGACUGACACUGACGCUGAGGUGCGAAAGCGUGGGUAGCAAACAGGAUUAGAUAACCCUGGUAGUC